UUUUAUAAAGUCUUCCGGUAUACAAAAAAAGUCAAAAAAUGGUUGAAAAAUGAGUACCGGAACUCUUUUGCAAAGUCUUCCGGUUCACAAAAAUUGACUACCAGAACUCUUUUGCAAAGUCUUCUGGUACACAAAAAUUGACUACCGAAACUCUUUUGCAAAGUCUUCCGGUACAUAAAAAAAUAUUUAAAAAAUACUUAAAAAAUGACUACCGAAACUCUUUUGCAAAGUCUCCCGGUACACAAAACUAAAAUUUUAAAAAUAUUUAAAAAAUAAAAUAAU
rnacentral:lncRNA from 1 species